rnacentral:sRNA from 1 species
UGGUAGAUGCACCCUGAUAACUAAACGCCCCCGGCUAAUAUCCGCUGGGGAUUUUUCCU